ACUCCUACGGGAGGCAGCAGUGGGGAAUAUUGCACAAUGGGGGAAACCCUGAUGCAGCAACGCCGCGUGGAGGAUGACACAUUUCGGUGCGUAAACUCCUUUUAUAUAGGAAGAUAAUGACGGUACUAUAUGAAUAAGCGCCGGCUAACUCCGUGCCAGCAGCCGCGGUAAUACGGAGGGCGCAAGCGUUACUCGGAAUCACUGGGCGUAAAGAGCGUGUAGGCGGAUCGAUAAGUCAGGAGUGAAAUCCUAUGGCUCAACCAUAGAACUGCUCUUGAAACUGUCAAUCUAGAGUAUGGGAGAGGUAGAUGGAAUUUCUGGUGUAGGGGUAAAAUCCGUAGAGAUCAGAAGGAAUACCGAUUGCGAAGGCGAUCUACUGGAACAUAACUGACGCUGAGACGCGAAAGCGUGGGGAGCAAACAGGAUUAGAUACCCUGGUAGCUACGAGU
rnacentral:rRNA from 1 species